UGCCUGCACCAUCGACCGACCAUGAUCUUCUGUGAAAGGUUUGAGUACGAGCAUACCUGUUGGGACCCGAAAGAUGGUGAACUAUGCCUGAGCAGGGCGAAGCCAGAGGAAACUCUGGUGGAGGCUCGUAGAUGUGCUGACGUGCAAAUCGCUUUUCGGACUUGGGUAUAGGGGCGAAAGACUACUAGUAGCUGGUUCCCUCCGAAGUUUCCCCCAGGAUAGCUGGAGCUUGAUCAGUUUUAUCGGGUAAAGCGAAUGAUUAGAGGUACCGGGGAUGAAACAUCCUCGACCUAUUCUCAAACUUUAAAUAGGUAAGACGUCUGGGUUGCUUAAUUGAACCCAGGCACUCAAUGAGAGCUCCAAGUGGACC
rnacentral:rRNA from 1 species